UUUAAUUUAAGUUGUAAGAGAGAGAGAGAGAAAGAGAGAGAGUGGUAUCAUUACUUAUAAUAAUAAUAAUCGUAAAUACUAGUGAAUUUCACAUAACCUGUAAAAAUGUACACAAAAACGAUAAAAAAUCUGUGAGUAUGUGAGGUGUAUCGUUAUUGAUAUUUAUAAACAAUUUUGGUGAAGCUGUAAUAAUAAGUUGAGUGAAAAAAUAAAACAGGUGAAAACGUAGCAAAAGGUAAAGUACCGACCCACAAAAAAUGUUGGGCAAAAGACCGUGAUACAUCGGCGAGGUAAAAAUGGUUAUAUUUUUUCUACAUUCCCUAGAAAUCCUGAAUGGUUUAAAGAAUAGUUAAAAAUUGUAAGAGUAUAGGAUUAUGUUAGUCUAUCGAUAUUUAAGCUUUCAACCUUAAGAUUUAUUUGUAGUUGUCAUUUUAAAUCAGAGGACUACAAAUUAAUAAAAAAUGGAAAAAGUUUUAAUGAAAACGCAAUUCCCUCUAUUUUUAGAGAAAACACAAGGCCUCUAAUAGACUUAGAUCUCGAAGAGAUUUUCAUCUAAGACAUGCGUAAUUUCUACAAGCUCUCGCUAAAUCGCUGUCGAUAAAAAAGAAAUAAGAUACAAUGAUAUCAUCAUUGGAAAUCGUUCAUUUAAAUAUUGUAUAGGUGGUCAGUAAAAAUGCAGCUGUGCUUCAUCAUGCAUUAACUAUAUAGGUUGUUAGACAUCCAGUUUAACGUCCUAUUUCUGCUUUUUGUAAUAAUUAUUGCGAUAGAAACACGAUGUAACUCCGAAACAAGGUCAAAUAAGACAUAUUUACAGGAAUUUGUAUUUCUGUUUGAAAGCUAUUCGUAUAAUAUUUUCCACUUAUUCUGUUACUUAUUCUGUAUUGAUGGAGAAAUAAAUAGUCAAAUAUGGACAGAGUGAGUGUGAGAGAAAAAGAAAUAACUUUACGGUCUCACAUAAGAUUCAAUAUUAUAAAAUUAAAAUCUUUAGAUAAAAACUGAAUUGUACUAUUGGUUUUCUUUACAAAUAAAUAAAUAUAUAAUUGCAA
rnacentral:lncRNA from 1 species